rnacentral:rRNA from 1 species
GACGAACGCUGGCGGCGUGCUUAACACAUGCAAGUCGCACGGGGCUGGGGGCAACUCCAGCUCAGUGGCGGACGGGUGCGUAACACGUAAGCAACAUGUCCAAGGGUGGGGAUAGCCGGCCCAACGGCCGGGUAAUACCGCAUGCAGUCACCGGCGGCAUCACAGGUGACGAAAGCCGGGGCAACCUGGCGCCCAUGGAGUGGCUUGCGGCCUAUCAGCUAGNGGUGGGGUAAUGGCCCACCAAGGCUACGACGGGUAGCUGGUCUGAGAGGAUGACCAGCCACAUUGGGACUGAGACACGGCCCAGACUCCUACGGGAGGCAGCAGUGGGGAAUAUUGCGCAAUGGGCGAAUGCCUGACGCAGCGACGCCGCGUGUGGGAUGAAGGUCUUCGGAUCGUAAACCACUGUCA